rnacentral:rRNA from 1 species
CUUGCUUCAAUUGCCGGCGACCGGCGCACGGGUGCGUAACGCGUAUGUAACCUACCUAUAACAGGGGCAUAACACUGAGAAAUUGGUACUAAUUCCCCGUAAUAUUCGGAGAGGCAUCUCUCCGGGUUGAAAACUCCGGUGGUUAUAGAUGGACAUGCGUUGUAUUAGCUAGUUGGUGAGGUAACGGCUCACCAAGGCAACGAUACAUAGGGGGACUGAGAGGUUAACCCCCCACACUGGUACUGAGACACGGACCAGACUCCUACGGGAGGCAGCAGUGAGGAAUAUUGGUCAAUGGACGCAAGUCUGAACCAGCCAUGCCGCGUGCAGGAAGACGGCUCUAUGAGUUGUAAACUGCUUUUGUACGAGGGUAAACUCACCUACGUGUAGGUGACUGAAAGUAUCGUACGAAUAAGGAUCGGCUAACUCCGUGCCAGCAGCCGCGGUAAUACGGAGGAUUCAAGCGUUAUCCGGAUUUAUUGGGUUUAAAGGGUGCGUAGGCGGUUUGAUAAGUUAGAGGUGAAAUCCCGGGGCUUAACUCCGGAACUGCCUCUAAUACUGUUAGACUAGAGAGUAGUUGCGGUAGGCGGAAUGUAUGGUGUAGCGGUGAAAUGCUUAGAGAUCAUACAGAACACCGAU